UCCCAGGCGUUUACUCAGCAUUUGAGAUCCUCCACUUUGUCAAGUACCCCGGCCUUGGAAACGAUUUCAUUCUGGUAGACAAUAGGGAUUCCUCAGAGCCUAAUAUUACUCAGGAGCAAGCUGUGAAGCUCUGUGAUCGAAACUUUGGCGUUGGUGCGGAGUCAUCUUUGCGAUGCCUGGUGCGGCACUGAUUACACUAUGAGGAUAUUCAACUCAGAUGGUAGCGAACCAGAGAUGUGUGGAAAUGAAGUUAGAUGCUUUGCAAGAUUCAUUGCUAAGAUUGAGAAUCUACAAGGAAAGCAUAGUUUUACAAUACAUACUGGUGAUGGCCUCAUCAUUUCAGAGAUUCAAGAUGAUGGGCAGGUAAAAAG